rnacentral:rRNA from 1 species
UGGCGGCAGGCCUAACACAUGCAAGUCGAGCGGUAGAGAGAAGCUUGCUUCUCUUGAGAGCGGCGGACGGGUGAGUAAUGCCUAGGAAUCUGCCUGGUAGUGGGGGAUAACGUUCGGAAACGGACGCUAAUACCGCAUACGUCCUACGGGAGAAAGCAGGGGACCUUCGGGCCUUGCGCUAUCAGAUGAGCCUAGGUCGGAUUAGCUAGUUGGUGAGGUAAUGGCUCACCAAGGCGACGAUCCGUAACUGGUCUGAGAGGAUGAUCAGUCACACUGGAACUGAGACACGGUCCAGACUCCUACGGGAGGCAGCAGUGGGGAAUAUUGGACAAUGGGCGAAAGCCUGAUCCAGCCAUGCCGCGUGUGUGAAGAAGGUCUUCGGAUUGUAAAGCACUUUAAGUUGGGAGGAAGGGCAGUUACCUAAUACGUGAUUGUUUUGACGUUACCGACAGAAUAAGCACCGGCUAACUCUGUGCCAGCAGCCGCGGUAAUACAGAGGGUGCAAGCGUUAAUCGGAAUUACUGGGCGUAAAGCGCGCGUAGGUGGUUAGUUAAGUUGGAUGUGAAAUCCCCGGGCUCAACCUGGGAACUGCAUUCAAAACUGACUGACUAGAGUAUGGUAGAGGGUGGUGGAAUUUCCUGUGUAGCGGUGAAAUGCGUAGAUAUAGGAAGGAACCACCCCAGUGGCGAAGGCGACCCCUCCUGGACUGAUAC